rnacentral:rRNA from 1 species
GACGAACGCUGGCGGCGUGCUUAACACAUGCAAGUCGAGCGGUAAGGCCCUUUCGGGGGUACACGAGCGGCGAACGGGUGAGUAACACGUGGGUGACCUGCCCUCAGCUCUGGGAUAAGCCUGGGAAACUGGGUCUAAUACCGGAUAUGACUCCAUGACGCAUGUUGUGGGGUGGAAAGCCUUGUGCGGCUGAGGAUGGGCCCGCGGCCUAUCAGCUUGUUGGUGGGGGAUGGCCUACCAAGGCGACGACGGGUAGCCGGCCUGAGAGGGCGACCGGCCACACUGGGACUGAGACACGGCCCAGACUCCUACGGGAGGCAGCAGUGGGGAAUCUUGCGCAAUGGGCGAAAGCCUGACGCAGCGACGCCGCGUGAGGGAUGAC